UGGGGAAUCUUCCGCAAUGGACGAAAGUCUGACGGAGCAACGCCGCGUGAGUGACGAAGGUCUUCGGAUUGUAAAACUCUGUCUUUUGGGACGAACGGCUCAUAUGUGAAUAAUGUAUGGGAUUGACGGUACCAAAGGAGGAAGCCCCGGCUAACUACGUGCCAGCAGCCGCGGUAAUACGUAGGGGGCGAGCGUUGUCCGGAAUUAUUGGGCGUAAAGAGCGCGCAGGCGGUUUGUUAAGUCUACCGUGAAAGCUUACGGCUCAACCGUAACGGGUCGGUGGAUACUGGCAGACUUGAGGGCAGGAGAGGAAAGUGGAAUUCCCAGUGUAGCGGUGAAAUGCGUAGAGAUUGGGAGGAACACCAGUGGCGAAGGCGACUUUCUGGACUGCAACUGACGCUGAGGCGCGAAAGCUGGGGGAGUGAACGGGAUUAGAUACCCGGUAAUCCCAGCCGUAAACGAUGGGUACUAGGUGUAGGAGGUAUCGACCCUUCUGUGCCGGAGUUAACGCAAU
rnacentral:rRNA from 1 species